rnacentral:rRNA from 1 species
CUACGGGAUGCUGCAGUGGGGAAUAUUGCACAAUGGGCGCAAGCCUGAUGCAGCCAUGCCGCGUGUAUGAAGAAGGCCUUCGGGUUGUAAAGUACUUUCAGCGGGGAGGAAGGGAGUAAAGUUAAUACCUUUGCUCAUUGACGUUACCCGCAGAAGAAGCACCGGCUAACUCCGUGCCAGCAGCCGCGGUAAUACGGAGGGUGCAAGCGGUAAUCGGAAUUACUGGGCGUAAAGCGCACGCAGGCGGUUUGUUAAGUCAGAUGUGAAAUCCCCGGGCUCAACCUGGGAACUGCAUCUGAUACUGGCAAGCUUGAGUCUCGUAGAGGGGGGUAGAAUUCCAGGUGUAGCGGUGACAUGCGUAGAGAUCUGGAGGAAUACCGGUGGCGAAGGCGGCCCCCUGGACGAAGACUGACGCUCAGGUGCGAAAGCGUGGGGAGCAAACAGGAUUAGAUACCCUUGUAGUC